rnacentral:lncRNA from 1 species
UACCUAGCUCUAGCCCUGAGAAUUGAUAGUUCCCUGGAUCUGGGGAGGGGACUGGGUUGGGACAAGAAGUUAGCCUGGUAAAGAGGCAUUGAUUUGGCCAGGGAUAAAAGAGAUUCUUAAUGACUGUUAGCCUCCUUUGAAUUUUUGAGGUUCACCAGGACAAGAGGGCUCAUUCUUAUUUUAUGGGGAGAGAGAACUCUGGGAAGGGAGAAAGGAUCAGAAAGGGCAGUGGGAGAUUCCUGGCCAAAGAAUAUCGUUGGCUGCCAAGGAAAGGACCCCACCCCACCUGCAGCCCUGCUUUCCCCCUAUGGUAGCCUCCAUCAACUGCAUCUGCCCUUCUUUUGACCUUCAUUUCAGGUAGGGCUAGGACCCACCCCACUGGGCACUCUCCUGUGGAGUUGUCUUUUGUCUGCCAGGGAGUCUGAAAAGGAGUGCUGGGGCAAGGAAGUAGGGUGGAGGUAGGAGAAUUUUCAACCUCAUUGUUUCCUGAGUAACUCAAGUCUUUGGAGCUGGAAAUAGGCAGGUUGAGGAGCUGCCUCCAGCAACCUUAAGGAGACUUUGAAAAGGAAGAUCCCUUCUCCUGAAUGGCAAGAGGUGGUCACAUGGAAAGGGGAAAAAUGACCCUCAGAACUAGAAGCUAGGCACCACAAGGGCAGGAGUCUAGUCUCUUCAUAGCUAUAUCCCAUACCUUUG